rnacentral:SRP_RNA from 1 species
GCCGAGCCUGGUUGCGCGGGCUUGUAACCCGAGUGGGGGCAACAUUGUGGUGGAACAUUUGCUUAGCUCCUGCGGGCCGGGCUCGCUGUGGCUUUGUUCUGGCCCGCCCAUUCCAAGCCGAGAGUUGAUCCGUGCGGUCCGGGCGAAGGCUUGGGCCACGCGGGUCCUAGAGUGGAGGGGCCCGCGUGAGGCUGGCUUCACAGAGCAGCGAAAACCUCCCGCUCUCGACAGUGGAAGGAUAACGGGCCGGUGUCUCUCGGGCCCAUCGUGACCCAAUGGGCUAAGCCUACUGAACCACCACUUUU